rnacentral:rRNA from 1 species
AACGGGUGAGUAACACGUGGGUAACCUGCCCAUCAGAAGGGGAUAACACUUGGAAACAGGUGCUAAUACCGUAUAACAAUCAAAACCGCAUGGUUUUGAUUUGAAAGGCGCUUUCGGGUGUCGCUGAUGGAUGGACCCGCGGUGCAUUAGCUAGUUGGUGAGGUAACGGCUCACCAAGGCCACGAUGCAUAGCCGACCUGAGAGGGUGAUCGGCCACAUUGGGACUGAGACACGGCCCAAACUCCUACGGGAGGCAGCAGUAGGGAAUCUUCGGCAAUGGACGAAAGUCUGACCGAGCAACGCCGCGUGAGUGAAGAAGGUUUUCGGAUCGUAAAACUCUGUUGUUAGAGAAGAACAAGGAUGAGAGUAACUGUUCAUCCCUUGACGGUAUCUAACCAGAAAGCCACGGCUAACUACGUGCCAGCAGCCGCGGUAAUACGUAGGUGGCAAGCGUUGUCCGGAUUUAUUGGG